rnacentral:rRNA from 1 species
GUGGAUUAGAUACCCGGGUAGUCCACGCCGUAAACGAUGAUCACUCGCUGUAUGCGAUACACAGUAUGCGGCCAAGCGAAAGCAUUAAGUGAUCCACCUGGGGAGUACGAUCGCAAGGUUGAAACUCAAAGGAAUUGACGGGGGCCCGCACAAGCGGAGGAACAUGUGGUUUAAUUCGAUGAUACGCGAGGAACCUUACCUGGGCUUAAAUGGGGAACGACAGCUGCCGAAAGGUGGCCUUCUUCGGACGUUCUUCAAGGUGCUGCACGGCCGUCGACAACU